UACGUAGGGUGCAAGCGUUGUCCGGAAUUAUUGGGCGUAAAGAGCUCGUAGGCGGUUUGUCGCGUCUGCUGUGAAAACGCGAGGCUCAACCUCGCGCCUGCAGUGGGUACGGGCAGACUAGAGUGCGGUAGGGGAGAUUGGAAUUCCUGGUGUAGCGGUGGAAUGCGCAGAGUAUCAGGAGGAACACCGAUGGCGAAGGCAGAUCUCUGGGCCGUAACUGACGCUGAGGAGCGAAAGCGUGGGAGCGAACAGG
rnacentral:rRNA from 1 species